ACAUGCAAGUCGAGCGGACUGAGGGGGAGCUUGCUCCCCUGACGUCAGCGCGAACGGGUGAGUAACACCUGGGCAACCUACCUAUAAGAUUGGGAUAACUUCGGGAAACCGGAGCUAAUACCGGAUAAUCCUUUUCACCUCAUGGUGAAAAGCUGAAAGAUGGCUUCGGCUAUCACUUAUAGAUGGGCCCGCGGCGCAUUAGCUAGUUGGUGAGGUAACGGCUCACCAAGGCGACGAUGCGUAGCCGACCUGAGAGGGUGAUCGGCCACACUGGGACUGAGACACGGCCCAGACUCCUACGGGAGGCAGCAGUAGGGAAUCUUCCGCAAUGGACGAAAGUCUGACGGAGCAACGCCGCGUGAGCGAAGAAGGCCUUCGGGUCGUAAAGCUCUGUUGUUAGGGAAGAACAAGUACCGUUCGAAUAGGGCGGUACCUUGACGGUACCUAACCAGAAAGCCACGGCUAACUACGUGCCAGCAGCCGCGGUAAUACGUAGGUGGCAAGCGUUGUCCGGAAUUAUUGGGCGUAAAGCGCGCGCAGGCGGUUUCUUAAGUCUGAUGUGAAAGCCCACGGCUCAACCGUGGAGGGUCACUUGGAAACUGGGAGACUUGAGUGCAGAAGAGGAAACGCGGAAUUCCAAGUGUAGCGGUGAAAUGCGUAGAGAUUUGGAGGAACACCAUGUGGCGGAAGUCGUGCUUUGCUGCUACUGUAACUGAAC
rnacentral:rRNA from 1 species